UUGGUGUUUUUAAAACCAGUUGUGGUUGUGUCUCUGCCUGGAGUCUUUUCAGCUUUUGAUAAUUGUUUUGUAUUCUUCCUAUCUUCUCUCUCCUCUAUAGAUGCCGAGGGGGAGCUGCUACAGCUGGAGGAGCGUGAGGUCUGACGCGUGUGCUUCUCCGUUGCCAGGAAGAAGUCGGCGAGGUGCUUCGGGGGCUCCCUGCUUCUCCUGCUCUUCACCAUGGAAGAGCUGACAAGCAUUUGCUAAACUGAAGGCAAUGAGGGAGAGGUUCUCCACAGGUGUAUGUUUGGCAAUGGGAAUGGCAAUUAAUCAUGCUGAAUCAACCUCCAGGAAUUUCUACACCCAAACCUCCAAAUUUUCUGAGAUCUGGUUCCAAGGCCUCUAAGAAUAUGUUCUCUGAGUACAAACUCAUGCCUUAUAUAAUACAGAUGUAUCCUCUAGUUUGUUCAUA